GUUAGUAACGCGUGGGACGUACCCUUCUCUAAGGAAUAGCCACUGGAAACGGUGAGUAAUACCUUAUACGCCCUUCGGGGGAAAGAUUUAUCGGAGAAGGAUCGGCCCGCGUUAGAUUAGAUAGUUGGUGGGGUAAUGGCCUACCAAGUCUACGAUCUAUAGCUGGUUUUAGAGGAUGAUCAGCAACACUGGGACUGAGACACGGCCCAGACUCCUACGGGAGGCAGCAGUGGGGAAUCUUGGACAAUGGGCGCAAGCCUGAUCCAGCCAUGCCGCGUGUGUGAUGAAGGCCUUAGGGUCGUAAAGCACUUUCGCCAGAGAUGAUAAUGACAGUAUCUGGUAAAGAAACCCCGGCUAACUCCGUGCCAGCAGCCGCGGUAAUACGGAGGGGGUUAGCGUUGUUCGGAAUUACUGGGCGUAAAGCGCACGUAGGCGGAUCAGAAAGUAAGGGGUGAAAUCCCAGGGCUCAACCCUGGAACUGCCUCUUAAACUCCUGGUCUAGAGUUCGAGAGAGGUGAGUGGAAUUCCGAGUGUAGAGGUGAAAUUCGUAGAUAUUCGGAGGAACACCAGUGGCGAAGGCGGCUCACUGGCUCGAUACUGACGCUGAGGUGCGAAAGUGUGGGGAGCAAAC
rnacentral:rRNA from 1 species